rnacentral:tRNA from 1 species
GCCUUCGUGGUGUAGUGGUCAGUACGCUCGACGCGUAACCGAGAGUUCCGUGGUUCGAUUCCCGGCGAAGACG